AACGUAGGAGGCGAGCGUUAUCCGGAUUUACUGGGCGUAAAGCGCGUGCAGGCGGCGCGGUAAGUUGGAUGUGAAAGCUCCUGGCUCAACUGGGAGAGGUCGUUCAAUACUGCCGUGCUAGAGGAUGGGAGAGGGAGGUGGAAUUCCGGGUGUAGUGGUGAAAUGCGUAGAUAUCCGGAGGAACACCAGUGGCGAAGGCGGCCUCCUGGCCCAUUUCUGACGCUCAGACGCGAAAGCUAGGGUAGCAAACGGG
rnacentral:rRNA from 1 species